AUUCUGAGUACAAUGAUGAAGGCCCUCGGGGAUAUGGAGAUAAGAAAGUGAUUCUAUCUGAUGUACAAAUUAUACAGAUAUUUAGAUGGGUGAUAUUUCAUCAUGAAGUAGAAGGUCUUGCAGAUUACUACGCUGAAUACUGUGAUGAGAUAAUGGUUGAUACAAAUGGGAUAGAGAGCACGAGAAGCGAAGUAGAAUGACAAACAGAUUUCAUAAAAUGGAUGUAUAAUAAGUUGGUGAAAGAGCGCAAAAUGAACUCCAAAUUAUGGCGUUAUGUAAAAGGGCCUGUUGGAGCGAAGGAAUAUAACAAGUACAGGGUCAAUGGUCAUAUCUUCGCAUCCAAAUCCUAUGAGCUAGAACAUGAUCGCGUCAUACAAGAUAGUGGCGUUUGCAUGGAAGCAACUACAACAUACAGGGCAAGUAGUAAAGAUAAAAAAACUCGUCGAUGGUGUGACUAAGUGGUAUGGUGUGGUUAAACAAAUAUUGGAGCAUGACUACACAGAGU